rnacentral:rRNA from 1 species
GAUGAACGCUGGCGGCGUGCCUAAUACAUGCAAGUCGAGCGAACAGAUAAGGAGCUUGCUCCUUUGACGUUAGCGGCGGACGGGUGAGUAACACGUGGAUAACCUACCUAUAAGACUGGGAUAACUUCGGGAAACCGGAGCUAAUACCGGAUAACAUUUUGAACCGCAUGGUUCAAUAGUGAAAGACGGCUUUGCUGUCACUUAUAGAUGGAUCCGCGCUGUAUUAGCUAGUUGGUAAGGUAACGGCUUACCAAGGCAACGAUACGUAGCCGACCUGAGAGGGUGAUCGGCCACACUGGAACUGAGACACGGUCCAGACUCCUACGGGAGGCAGCAGUAGGGAAUCUUCCGCAAUGGGCGAAAGCCUGACGGAGCAACGCCGCGUGAGUGAUGAAGGUCUUCGGAUCGUAAAACUCUGUUAUCAGGGAAGAACAAAUGUGUAAGUAACUGUGCACAUCUUGACGGUACCUGAUCAGAAAGCCACGGCUAACUACGUG